rnacentral:rRNA from 1 species
CAGCCAUGCCGCGUGCAGGAUGACGGUCCUAUGGAUUGUAAACUGCUUUUGUACGAGAAGAAACACUCCUACGUGUAGGAGCUUGACGGUAUCGUAAGAAUAAGGAUCGGCUAACUCCGUGCCAGCAGCCGCGGUAAUACGGAGGAUCCAAGCGUUAUCCGGAAUCAUUGGGUUUAAAGGGUCCGUAGGCGGUCUUGUAAGUCAGUGGUGAAAGCCCAUCGCUCAACGAUGGAACGGCCAUUGAUACUGCAGGACUUGAAUUACCAGGAAGUAACUAGAAUAUGUAGUGUAGCGGUGAAAUGCUUAGAGAUUACAUGGAAUACCAAUUGCGAAGGCAGGUUACUACUGGUUUAUUGACGCUGAUGGACGAAAGCGUGGGUAGCGAACAGGAUUAGAUACCCUGGUAGUCCACGCCGUAAACGAUG